UGAUCCAGCCAUGCCGCGUGAGUGAAGAAGGCCUUCGGGUUGUAAAGCUCUUUUGUCUGGGAAGAAAGGGAGAGAGCUAAUAUCUUUUGCUCUUGACGGUACCGGAAGAAUAAGCACCGGCUAACUACGUGCCAGCAGCCGCGGUAAUAA
rnacentral:rRNA from 1 species